rnacentral:rRNA from 1 species
AGACGGGGGGGGCAAGUGUUCUUCGGAAUGACUGGGCGUAAAGGGCACGUAGGCCGUUCAUCGGGUGGAAAGUGAAAGUCGCCAAAAAGUGGCGGAAUGCUCUCGAAACCAAUGCACUUGAGUGAGACAGAGGAGAGUGGAAUUUCGUGUGUAGGGGUGAAAUCCUUAGAUCUACGAAGGAAGGCCAAAAGCGAAGGCAGCUCUCUGGGUCCCUACUGACGCUGAGGUGCGAAAGCAUGGGGAGCGAACAGGAUUAGAUACCCUGGUAGUCCAUGCCGUAAACGAUGAGUGUUCGCCCUUGGUCUAGGCAGAUCAGGGGCCCAGCUAACGCGUGAAACACUCCGCCUGGGGAGUACGUUCGCAAGAAUGAA